rnacentral:misc_RNA from 1 species
AUGGCUUCUGUCAAAGUAGCUGUGCGAGUACGUCCAUUCAAUCAAAGGGAGAUUGACAUGAACGCAAAAUGCAUCAUAAAAAUGGAAGGAAAGAAGACAAGAAUCACCAAUACAUCACAGAAGGGCAAUGAAAGACAGGGAGAGCUGAACAAGUUUUUCACUUUCGAUCAUUCCUAUUGGUCCUUCGAUCAUAAUGACCCUCAUUACAUUUCACAAGAGCAGGUGUUCAACGACUUGGGCACAGACGUGGUGGACGCGGCGUUUGAGGGCUAUAACGCAUGCGUGUUUGCGUACGGCCAAACAGGUAGUGGAAAAACGUUCACUAUGAUGGGAUCGAAGUCCAAUCAGGGUCUCAUGCCUAGGAUAUGCGAGGCGCUUUUCAAGCGUAUGGCGCUCGGCGCUAACUAUCGCAUAGAGGUGAGCUACCUUGAGAUCUACAACGAAAAGGUGAAAGAUCUGCUGCUUAAAGACUCUGGCCACAACCUGAAAGUGCGCCAACAUCCCACCAAGGGUCCUUGUGUCAUGGACUUGUCCAGGCAUCUGGUAUCGGAGUACAAACAUAUUCAGGAUUUAAUGGAACAAGGCAACAACCAACGCACAACCGCAUCGACGAAUAUGAAUGACGUGAGCAGCAGAAGUCACGCCAUAUUCACGCUGAUGUUCGUUCAGGCGCAAGGAGGCCUCUCUAACGAUGUACCCACUGAAACUGUGUCCAAAGUGCACCUGGUCGACUUGGCUGGCAGCGAGCGAGCAGAUGCUUCAGGAGCGACCGGUCAACGCCUGAAGGAAGGCGCUCACAUCAACAAGUCCCUUGUGACUCUGGGUUCUGUGAUCUCAGCAUUGGCCGAGUUGUCAGCUGGUGUCUCCGGCCGCAAGGCGGGUGGUUUCAUCCCCUACAGGGACUCAGUACUCACCUGGCUGCUCAAGGACAGUCUCGGUGGCAACUCUAAGACUAUCAUGAUUGCUGCUGUAUCACCUGCAGACUGCAACUACAGUGAGACACUGAGUACACUGCGUUAUGCUAAUCGAGCCAAGAACAUAAUCAACAAGCCCACAAUAAAUGAAGACGAGAAUGUGAAGUUGAUCAGAGAAUUGAGAGAGGAGAUAACCAAAUUGAAAUCGAUGAUGACUGAGAGCGAAGGCGCAACAGAAGUGCAACCGAAAGUCCUGGCCGUUCUCCAAGAGAAAGAGGCUCAAGAAAAGGUGCUCCGCGAGGAAUGGAACGAAAAAUGGCGGGAAACACAGAAAAUCCUACAGGAACAGAAAGCCCUAGGACUACGCAAGGCUGGUGCUGGAGCGGGGAUUGUUCUAGACUCGGAUAUGCCUCACUUAAUUGGUAUAGAUGACGAUCUACUUAGCACUGGGGUGACUUUGUAUCACUUGAAUGAUGGGGAGACGUUAGUUGGCAGCAGUGACGCCGAUGGAGAUCGACAGGAUAUAAUUCUGAAUGGAGUUGAUGUAGAGAAACAUCACUGCAGUAUCACGCUGAAAAACGGGGUGGCAACCCUGGUGCCUCAUCACGAAGCCCUAUGUUGGGUGAAUGGGUCACAGGUGAACAAACCUACCCGUCUCUCACAAGGUUGCAAUAUUCUCCUGGGACGCACCAACCUGUUCCGUUAUAACGAUCCCGUUGAAGUCGAGAAGCUCAAGAAAGAAGGUAACAGUCACUCAGUGCUCAACCUGUCCCGGUUAUCUCUAAUGAGCUGUUCCACACCUGACCUGUGUCGUGAUGUUGAAAACAACAAUGGAAGUUUCAGAAGACCGGGGUCGGUGGUGUCGGAAUCUGGGAGAUCUAGAGAGGAUAUCCUAGAGUCCAGAGAGGAUAUCCUGAACGAGAGUUCGAUAAUUAGGGAGGAUGAUGUCCAUCUAUCCCUCCGGGAGAGGGAACAAGUACUGAAGAAGUCCAUCGACCAGUUUAACUCAGAUCAAGAGUCGAAACUGUCGUUCCUAGCCAGUGAACAUAAACGGAUAGUCGAGUUGCAGGCGAAUCUAGACCGUAAAAAAGAGGAACUAACGUUGUUAGAAAUGAAACAAACCCAGUUUCGACGAGACUCCCUGAAUGGGACCACAGAGAUCGAUGUCAAUGUUCUAAAUAAUUUCAAGGAUUCAAUCAACAAUAUGGAGCAGGAACUGAAGCUACAGAAUGAGACGUUGAGUGUUAUCGUUAGGAACGCUAAUGAAAACGAGAAGAAUUUCAAGAGACAAAACUUAAAUCUGAGUUUAGUAUCGGGUAAUGAUCAUCAACCGUUAGCAACCAGUUCCCCCAAUAUCACAGUGAACAGCAACAGAAUAAUCGAGGAUUUGGAAAGUCCGUUAUCGGAUUCCCCCAGGAACUUCAACCUCCAAAUGCAACAACGAACCAUGUUUAGGAAGAUGUCUGUAGAUGUAGAUCUCGACACAGACGCCCUCUACCAGAUGAAAUUCCUGACUCAGCAGAUCUCCAACCAGAGACGUUUAAUCAUGAAGUGUUUAGAAAGCGAGAUAAACUCGGACGAAUUGAAUAAGCAUAUUUCAGUUCUGCAAGAGCUGAAGAGGGAGUAUGUGCGAUUGGAGCAACAGACUGAUGAUUGCAGCAGUAAGGAGAAUUUCAAGAUGGACGCCAACGGUGCCACUCAGAGCAGCGGCACAAUGUCGCACGACCAUCUGUCGCACGACUCUGACGAUCUGUCAACGUCGGCCGACGACACGAUAUCUGAGUCGUUGAUGGGCAGUCGUGUGUUCAAGAGUCGUGACUGUUUGAACUGUUCGGUGCUCAGUCGGUCGUCGCGAGAUAUCCGGUACAGAAUAUUACAGGACAGAUUACAAAUGUCAUUAGCGCCUCCAUCUUUUAGUGCUUCUAUACAAGAUGUUAAUCAACUAACUUCUAGUAAUAAUUAUUCUCUAACGAGAUCCAUGCCUUCACUUAAUAGAAUCUCAGUGUGGGAAAGGAGGCUGAAUGACUCAGACUGGGACCAAAGACUGAUAGUAUCAGUGCCGAAUUACCUGAUUAGAGGCGCUGGCAGAAAUACGCACUACGUUUACGAGGUGCUUGUCUGCGUCGAAGGUGAAACCUACUCGAUACUGCGCAGGUACCGGCGAUUCAGAGAGCUGCAUCUCACUAUGAAGCACAAGUAUGGAGACCAGGUAGCCAAGCUAUCGUUUCCGCCGCGGAAACUGUUUCUUUGGCAAAUGGACGGAGAGUUGCUGGCAAAAGAGAGGAGACCGCUGCUCGAAAUUUACCUGAAAAGACUGUUGGCAACUUGUGCCUCCAUCAGCACAUGUCCGCUUCACAACAGCUGUUCCAAAACGGCGCUACACCAGUUUUCAACUUUCUUCAAGAAAGGUGUCUUCGAAACUGGGAAAUAUGGUACUAGUUGAGUUAAUUAACCAGUUGAGUUGAUCAACUAGUUGAGUUAAUAAACUGGUUAAGUUGAUCAACUAGUUGAGUUGUUUAACUAGUUGAGUUGAUCAACUUGUUGAUUUAAUCAAGUAGUUGAUGGAAUAUGGUUCUAGUUGAGUGUUGAAAAUGUAUUAAUUUUCUCUCGCUAUCCGCAAACGAAGGUGUCGAAUUAACGAAGUUUCCUACUUUUGUUGCCUGAAACUGAGACAACUCAAUGAUAAACGCAUUUUGUUGUGUUUAGUUUUGACUCUUAUUUUGCGAUAAUUAUGUGGACUCUGAGAUUACUGCUAUAAUAAUUGUACAGCUUUGUAAAAUUCUCAGGUUGAUAAUAUUUUAAUUUCAAUUUUUUUCUGAAUUUGAUAUUACUGAUAGAAAAUUCAGAUUGCUGUUAUAAUUUUACAGCUUUGUAAGAGUCUCUCGUCAGGAUGAUGAUAUUUAAAUCUCAAUUAUAUUUAAUCUGUGAUUAAAUUUUUUACUGAGACUACUAAUAGGAAAUUGCUUUAAUAUUGUACAGCUCUGUAAAAUUCCCAGGAUGAUAAUAAUUGAAUUCUAUCUAUGCUAUGGUUUCUCUAUGAUUGAACUCUAAUUCACACAAUUUUAUAAAUGGAAAAUAAAUAUUGAGUCAAAUAGUCUGGGAUCAGAGUUUUUAGGUCUCAUGUGAUUCAAAUGCAUGCUCCAGUAAGUGAGUAAAUAUUUCAUAAUAUCCAAAACAUUAUAUAAGUCUGAAAGACUUAAUUAUUUUAGAGUUUAUGGCCCGCUUGCAAAAAAGCUGGUUGGAUUUUAAUCGAGAUUCAUUUCAUGAAAACCAAUCUAUCAGAUUUUUUAAAAAGAACGCUUCUCUGAUUGGCUUUCGUGAAAUUAAUCACGGUUAAAAUAUAACCGGCUUUUCUGCAACCGGGCCUCAGAUCUACUUUUCCUGAAAGGAGCAUAGUACUGGAACUCUAAUAACGUUUUUCAAGUUUCUCAAACUGUUCCUAAUAAAAGACUCAUUUUACAUUUUUCACAAAAUUUUCAUUCUCAAAUUUUUGCUGUUCUUGAUCGAAACUGUGAAUUCCUUGAAUAAGUUUUCAGAUUUUUAGAAUUGAUCAUUUUGAAGAAUAUUUUUUCUUUGAAUGAUGGGCAUUUUAUCAGGAAAAUUUCAUUCAAGAAGAGGUUUAAAUCUGUUUUUGAUUCAUGUACUAAAUUUUUUAUUAUAUAUUACUUAUUUUUAUUAUAUUCUUUCCAGCUAAUCUGGCAGCAAUAAUUUUCUAUUUUUAUCAUGUUUUUUUAUUAUAAUAAAUUGAUCAUUGACAUCCUAAUGUUAUUCAUUAAGGUGCGUACAGAUUUACGCGCCGCGAACAUGAGCAAUUCACUUUUAAUCAGCUGGUACCAAACUUUUUAUAUCUAUAUUAUCUUAUACCGUUUCUGUUAAAAUACAGAUAUAGUCAGCUGAUUAAAAGUGAAUUGCUCAUGUUCGCGGCGCAUAUAUCUGUACGCACCUUUAGAUGAUGACGUCAGCACUGUUGAUAAAUGAAUUUUAAAAUGUAAUUUUCCAAAAGUGAGUGGACUUUGUUCCAAAGACUAUUCUGAACUUGUUGAAUGAAUUAAAAUACUGAUUAUAAGGGAAAAUCCGAUAUUUAAUUAAAAACGCAAUUCUGAAAAGUUAUACUCAUUCAAAAUUAUCUAUGUUUUGAUGAAGGGUACAGGUUUUACCAUAGAGAAAAUAGAGCAUAAUUUAUUAUGCUAUCUUAUAUGCUAUUUAUUAUACUAUCAUUUCUUUAUUAUGCUAAAAGAUAGCAUAAUAAAUUAUGCUUUAUUUUCUCUAUGGAUGAAACCUCCUUUGGUUCAUUUGAGUCAAUAAAUAAUCCAUCAAAUUAAUUUUCCUUCAAAUUUUUCAUCAUGUUCUAGUAUUUCAUUUCUUUUAGAUUAAAAAAAUUAUAGAAUAGAAUUCAGCUGAUAUUCAUUGUUGAACACCUUUUGCUCAGAUUGAUUAUCUACUGAAAUUUUUAUAUUUACCUAAAAGUAAUUUUAAAUUCAAUUAGAUUUAGAUUAUAUAUUACUACCAUUGACAAUACAAGUUGUUGUUUAAAGCUCCCUAUAUUAGGGAGUAGGUUUGUAGCUGUUCUUUUUUGAAAAAUGUUAAGCAUGUUAGUUUAUUUUCAAGUUAUGUAUUUAUUACAAUUUUAUGUGAGAUUCGAAUUGGAAUUAAUUUUUAUUACUGCAAAUUAGUGAAAAUCUGUAUGCACCUUGAAGGUUAUCAGAUAUGAUUACUAUAGAUUUUCGAUUUUGUUUGAAAUGGCUUUAAGGGCCCGGGUUCCGUGCACGGGAUUUAGUUAAGUUCUAGACUUUAACGCUAGGGUCACAUGAGCGCACAUAGUGCGUCCGUUGCAACUUACUUUUGCGGCUUUCGCCAAUGACACCAUACGAGCUUUGAGUGUGGUGCGUCAACAUCAGUUUUGGCUUUACGCAUGCAACUUUUGCAUGUCUCGACGUGCGUUGUAGUAUUUCUGCGCAGUUCAAAAAUCACCGUCCGUUACGACUUCCGUUACUUGGUACGCACGUACCUCGUGUGUUGUCACCAAUUCACUUCUAUGUAUUUCUACAACGGACGUCAAAAAGUAAGUUGCAACGGACGCACUAUGUGCGCUCAUGUGGCCCUAGCCUAAACAGCUGGAGGCAGGAAAUUGGCUUUACGAAACGGGACGUUGUCUUAGUACACGUUUAAAUUAUAUUUCGAAAAACUAGAAAAUUGGACACAAAAUAAAGAGAAAAUAGUGUGAAGUUCAAGCUAUUUUGAAUUAUUGACCGAGUGAAGUGAGGUCUAAGAGUCAAGUCGACGGUUUG